CAGCCGCCGCGGGAAUACGGAGGGGGCUAGCGUUGUUCGGAAUUACUGGGCGUAAAGCGCACGUAGGCGGCUUGGUAAGUUAGAGGUGAAAGCCUGGAGCUCAACUCCAGAAUUGCCUUUAAGACUGCCGAGCUAGCAGGUGAGAGAGGUAAGUGGAAUUCCGAGUGUAGAGGUGAAAUUCGUAGAUAUUCGGAAGAACACCAGUGGCGAAGGCGGCUUACUGGCUCAUACUGGACGCUGAGGUGCGAAAGCGUGGGGAGCAAACAGGAUUAGAGACCCGUGUAGUCCCUGUCUCUUAUAC
rnacentral:rRNA from 1 species